rnacentral:rRNA from 1 species
GAUGAACGCCAGCUACAGGCUUAACACAUGCAAGUCGAGGGGUAACGAGAGGAAAGCUUGCUUUCCUUGUCGACGACCGGCGCACGGGUGAGUAACGCGUAUCCAACCUGCCCCCAACUAGGGAAUAACCUUGCGAAAGUAAGACUAAUACCCUAUAAUUUCCUCAGAUGUCAUCUGACGAGGAAUAAAGAUUUAUCGGUUGUGGAUGGGGAUGCGUCUGAUUAGCUUGUUGGCGGGAUAACGGCCCACCAAGGCAACGAUCAGUAGGGGUUCUGAGAGGAAGGUCCCCCCCGUUGGAACGGAGACACGGUCCAAACUCCUACGGGAGGCAGCAGUGAGGAAUAUUGGUCAAUGGGCGGAAGCCUGAACCAGCCAAGUAGCGUGCAGGAUGACGGCCCUAUGGGUUGUAAACUGCUUUUAAACAGGAAUAAAGUUAGCCACGUGUGGUUAUUUGUAGGUACUGUAUGAAUAAGGACCGGCUAAUUCCGUGCCAGCCGCCGCCGUAA